rnacentral:lncRNA from 1 species
GUCUCUGCCGUGUUUUCCGCAGGAUGCGGACUCCGGGAGCAGGAACAGCCUCUGUGGCCUCAUUGGGGCUGCUUUGGCUUCUGGGACUUCCGUGGACCUGGAGCGCGGCGGCGGCGUUCGGUGUGUACGUGGGUAGCGGUGGCUGGCGCUUUCUGCGUAUCGUCUGCAAGACGGCGAGGCGAGACCUCUUUGGCCUCUCUGUUCUGAUCCGCGUGCGGCUAGAGCUACGACGACACCGGCGAGCAGGAGACACGAUCCCACGCAUCUUCCAGGCCGUGGCCCAGCGACAGCCGGAG